CUCCAGACUCCUACGGGAGGCAGCAGUGGGGAAUAUUGCACAAUGGGGGAAACCCUGAUGCAGCGACGCCGCGUGAGUGAAGAAGUAUUUCGGUAUGUAAAGCUCUAUCAGCAGGGAAGAAGAAGGACGGUACCUGAGUAAGAAGCCCCGACUAACUACGUGCCAGCAGCCGCGGUAAUACGUAGGGGGCAAGCGUUAUCCGGAUUCACUGGGUGUAAAGGGAGCGUAGACGGCGACGCAAGUCUGGAGUGAAAGCCCGGGGCCCAACCCCGGGACUGCUCUGGAAACUGCGGCGCUGGAGUACGGGAGGGGCAGGCGGAAUUCCUGGUGUAGCGGUGAAAUGCGUAGAUAUCAGGAGGAACACCGGCGGCGAAGGCGGCCUGCUGGACCGUGACUGACGUUGAGGCUCGAGAGCGUGGGGAGCAAACAGGAUUAGAUACCCCCGUACU
rnacentral:rRNA from 1 species